rnacentral:rRNA from 1 species
CAGCCGCCGCGGUAAUACGUAGGUGGCAAGCGUUGUCCGGAAUUAUUGGGCGUAAAGGGCUCGCAGGCGGUUUCUUAAGUCUGAUGUGAAAGCCCCCGGCUCAACCGGGGAGGGUCAUUGGAAACUGGGAAACUUGAGUGCAGAAGAGGAGAGUGGAAUUCCACGUGUAGCGGUGAAAUGCGUAGAGAUGUGGAGGAACACCAGUGGCGAAGGCGACUCUCUGGUCUGUAACUGACGCUGAGGAGCGAAAGCGUGGGGAGCGAACAGGAUUAGAGACCCGAGAGUCCCUGUCUCUUAUACA